UGGAGGCUGAACUGGGUUGAUUGCUGCUGUGCUGAUGGCUGCUGCUCCUCCUGGCAUGAAAGCGGCAUUUGACUUGACCUUGGGCGAAUUCUCCCCACUCCCUGCAACAUCAUGUGAUCAGCAAAGGAAGCUGCAAAGCUGGAAGUGAAACAGCCCAUCUACACCUCAAUCAGAGCAACAGCUGAUGUGCGGAAUCAAACUCUGUAAUCCAAGUACUCUCUAGCCUUGAAUAAACAAAAUUGAUAACAAAAGCAUCAGUUUUGGAGAUGGGAGGAAGGAACUCUGCCAAAAGCAACAAGCACACACAGCCUUCUGCAAGGGAAGGAAGCUUUGCUCCUGGGAUUGCCCACAGCUCUUUCAGUCUCUCAGUAAACCUUAAUACUCUACAACUGAGCCAUUCUUUUAAAAAGCUUCCUACAGCUUAACAUGAAACCAGACUUGGGGACUUCAGCAUUGUUGAUAUCAAUCCAAUAAUUAAAUAUGAAAUGACAGCCACAAUUCAAUAGAGAGAUGAAGCCAGAAAAGAGCCUGCUGCAAAUGGUACAGAUUACCCUGUUGCUGUUUUCCUGAGUUGCAUGGUUUUUUUUCUUACUAGAACAAAACAGCAAACAACAAUAGCACUGAAGCUGGCUUAGUAACUGAACUAAGGCUGAUCAUUUUCAGAAUGCAGAAUUCCAUGUGGGUGUUAAAACUCCACUGCGUCUGAUCUGUAGCUCUCCUGUCAGUCACUUCACCUUUCUCAAAGUCUUCAGAGAUCUUCACAGCACAGACUUUCCAGCUCCUUUUAUUUCCUGCCAUCACUUUCACCCUUUGCUUGGUUCAUACAUCAAGGGAGCAGUAAGAAUGAAGAAUAAAGCAAAUGAAGUACCUCCUACAUCCACUGUAGAUACCCAUUCUGAACACACUGCUUCAACAGCACUACUCAGUAUUAAAAUACUCAGGCUUUUAAUAAAAGCCCCUGAAGUACCCUGUGUGGAUAGACCUAUUCACACACCGAAUCAAAAUCCCAGCUCCACUUCCCAUAGAAUUCAAUGGAUCCACAUUUCUCUUAGUCCACUGUUUCCUUUGUGCUGCAGACACUCCAUACGUCCCAUGACACCCGAGUGCUGUUAAUACUAAAAUAAAAAAGAAGUCCUCAAGGUGAGAGAUCUGAUAAUAAGGAAAAUACUCUCUGGAUUUAAGACUUUCAGGCAAACUAGCUUCAGUUCACAAACAAGUUGGCUGUAUCUCCAAAAGAACCACAGAAUAGAACAUUACCAAGUGAUUGAUGUGCAAAAACCAUCAAGCACAGUGAUGCUGUUUGUGUUUGUCCCUGGGCAAUUACUGCUUGAACAAUGGUUCAGCUGUUCCUUGCUCCUUUUUCCCCCACACUGCAGCAGAGCAUGCAGUAGAAGGUUAUAGUUGCCUUACAUUUCUUUUCAUAAGUGAUAACGCUUUUACCCUUGGAGCUCCCACAGAGUAAAAUGGUAUAUUGGUGUGACUUGAGGAAUGCUGUUGAUAUGCAGCGGUCAGUCUGUUGAUUUAGUCCUAUCAGCUGCUGCCUAACUCAGAGGUAUGUUAGUGUGUGGUGCUGCCAAUCAGCAAAUAGCAGUACAGAUACACACUGUGGUUAGCAGAUGCUAUGUUGGGCACUGCUGGUGCCUCUUUUGGUUUAUGGGCUCUGUUUCACUGCAUGAGAGAACCCUCAGAGUCAGUCAAUACAAAGAUACUAAACAGAAAAAAUUAGCAGGCUUAACAUUAGCAUGUAAUUGCUUUAGAGGAGCUUGAGGCUAGAAGUCUUUGAUUGCUUUCCUAAUAAGUCACCAGAGCUCCAGUUUAUUGAACACCACUCCUGCAAUACACAUAACAAAUAAUGCAGGCAGAAGAUGCAGUAUCAGGAACACCAAAACUGAAGAGUCUUUGAGAACACUUUUUGCCUUUCAAGAUUUUUCUUUAGCAGGUAAUAAGACAAACUCCGUCAAAUUUGGUUUCAGCCAGUCAGCAGGUUCAGAAGUUAUCUGGGACACACACACAGCAGCAUGACCUCAUAGGCUUUUUGACUGUUGAUAUUAAUUAUUUCAACUAUGAGUUCACUUAUGAUUUCAACAAGAAAUCAGCAAGACUUGAAAAGAGAUCUUAAGUCUUUUUGUACCACAGGUUAAUUUUUAUUACCAAGAGCACCCCUUUACAACCUUCGUCACCUCUGCUUCACUGCUCACAUUGCAGUGCUGAGUCUCUAUUGUGUUAAAAAGGACCACUGUUCUAAGCAGGAUACUCUUAGUUGUCUUUAAUGAAAUGCACUAAUUAGGAAUAAUAGAGGAAUUAUGGAGAGCCAAGACUACGCAACCAAUCAGCCCUCACCACGGUAGUCUCAACAGUGGGUAGUGUACUGUAAGGUAACAGACUCAGGUAGGCAGUAGUAACUGUAGAUCUUCCAGUUAUGCACAAGUAGCUCAUACCUUUCUGUCCUUAUUUUGUGCCUCCUCUUUCCAAAGCUCAGUCUAAUCUUGAAGGAACUCCUAGUUACAGCAAUGCACACGGCUCACCUCUCUUAUAGCAAUUCUAAGUGCUGUUCUUCCAUAGUAAACACAUCUUGAAGAGUGCUGUGCAAGAUGACUAAACCACUUCUUUUUAUUUAGGAAUUUCAAGGGAUUGAUUGUAGAAUUUGUCUCUCUUGUCGGGUGUUUGAGGGUGCUAAGGAACACAUCAGCAUUACAGCAAGGAUGCUGGAGUAAAGCAGGCUGACCCUAGUUCAGGUACAAAAUCAGUGACUCAGCAGGGCCAAGCAUAGCUGAAGUGCCUGUCCAUUCUCUGCACAGCGAAUGGAAAUUGUCCCUCUUUGUUGAAACCUUUUUCCUUAGCACUUCAACAGCCUGAAAUCUGACACUGCAGCUCUGCUGUAACGUUUCUGCCACCAUUAAUGCACAUCAUGUGCUCCGGGAACAUCUCAGUUCCCCAGAUACCUCAAAGCAUAAAGGGAAGUGCUAGAUCCCCUUUCUUUUCAUAAACAUUUGCCUAAUGCUUUUUUUUCCUCAGCUUAACUACAGAGCCCAGUACUCUAUACAUACUUUAUUAUCAUCUCAUCAACUGAUGGGAAUUGCCUUUUCUUUUAAAUAAACCAGUCAUCCUGUGAAAUAGAUAUUGGAGAUUUCUGAAUUUGCCUUAUAAGAGAUCAAGUCUAAAAAUAAGCAGGAUAGUCCUUUCAGGCCAAUGCAGUAUAGAUACUAGCUCCUUUGUCAGCCACAGUAAGGUUGUGCAGAAACAGAAAAAAUCUACCUUAUCUACCUGACCAUAUAUCUGGAACUUCUGGGUCCAACCCAAAGUUGCCAAAAAAGCAACUGUACUCCAGUUGUCCAGACCCGUUAGAGAAGCCAGGCCAAUGGCUGAGCCCACCACAAGUAACUCUACACUGAACAGGCAAAAAAGGUUUUCUUGGUUGCAUUAACCCUGCAUUAUACACCAAGAAAAGCCUCUAAUUUGAUCUGCAGGCUCUCUCAGGCUAGCUUACACAACCAGCUAGGCAAGUGGCUGCUUUGUAUCCACGUACCCUGUAAAUGAACUCCACUACUUUUGUAGCAAUGGCAAGAGCUAAAUCUGGUGCCAAUAACUCUCCCAAGCCAUUCCUGUAAUUCCUCUCACAGAAAAAAAAGUUAUCUGAUCUUCAUCCGUCCGGGAAGCGAUCCCAAAGUACGUCAGUGCAGCUACAAAGGACGUAUUCCCAGAGACAUCUGACAACAGCAGAACACUGUGUGCACAAUGUGGAGAUCUUUACUUUAUUAGAAAUUCUCACAUGCACGAGAUAAACCUAACCACACGAGUGGGAAAUCCUCUUCCAACAUGUAGCAGGAAGAGAUGGUCUUCUGAAAGAUAUACUUUAGUUCAAAAGUAAUAACGCUGGACAUUUGUAAGACAAAUAUCUACACUUCAUUUAUCAAUGAAGUGUAAUUUAACCCAGUGUUAAAUUAAACUUAAAUUUAUCCUUAAAUUAAAUGUGUAUCCCAGAGAAUUAACAUACUUCUAUUACAAGAGACCAAAUUGGUUACUGCAGAGAGCUGUUACAAGCAAAACCUCUAGCUUGAGUCCAAGGUCACUAUUCUGGCUCUGACUCAGAGACUCGCAUACUCAUUGUCAAAGCAGUGAACUUUUUGGACUUGGCCAUCAUCAAAAAGCCCCAGCGUCUGCCUGAAGGAAAACUACAACACCAGAACUAUCAGCUGAAGGUCAGACUGAAUGUAAGAUCCACAACAGUGCCACACUCUGCAAACACACAGAAUGCCUGACAGUUGCAUGAACAAUUAUGUAAUGGCAUCCUGGCAUGCCACCAUACUCUGGAGGCACCAAGGUCAGCUCAGAUUCCAGAUCUAAGUAGGAAAUACCAAAUGUAACAUUAGUGCCAUCUUUCCUUUUGCAGUCUCCUCCUGUGCUGAAACAAUUGCAAUAUAAGUUGCAGUAACACAGGGAACAACAACAAAAUUUUCUAAAAAUAAAAUAAAAUAAAAAAAUCGCACAAAUUGCUGUACAUCACCUGACUUUUUCUGAUCACAGCCAGACUUUUGUUGUGAAUCUCUUAUUUUCUUUGAGGAGACAUUUCUUUAUACAUCAUAGGCUUGGCAUCCCCGACAAUACUUCAGGAAACACAAAGCAAUUUAUUUUCACAGAAACAGUUUCUGUCUGUGUAUUUAAAUCUGAUCUCUCUCCACUUAUCUUGAGUGUGUCAGAUAAAUAUCAAUCCAACUCCCAACUGCAGCUCCUACUCAGGUGCCACCCUCAUAAGCCUUUGUACCAGAUUCACAGGUACACAUACAUACAUUUGUAAGCACAGCUAUAGGAAGCAUAACCUGCCUGGAUAUAAACAAGAUUUAUAAUGCUAAGAAAUUAAAACUUUUACCUAUCCAGACUGGAAUUAAAGUAGAGUUGAAUGUGAACAUGCGGAAGCUGCUUCAGAAAGAAAGACAAACAAAUUUGAGCAGCAAAUGACAGAACAGAGUCUUUAAGUACAAGUGAUCACUAUACAAGAAGGGGCAGGUUUAUGCUGUAAUUAGGAUUUUUGCUUUUUGCAGUUAUCCUUGCAUGUUUAAUUUCAUAGCACAUAAUUUUAUUUAUUUAUUUUAUGAUUACCAGGAGCAACUCAAGAGCAAGGGCACCUUAGAACUGAGUGGCAUGGUCCUUGCAAGGCUACUGCCUUCUGCUCCCAGAGCAGCGGAAUUACAGAAAUCAACGCUGUCAAGACAGCGUUUGACCAGGGAACAGCAUCUGAUGGUUUUACAAGGACAAAGACAAUUAAGUUUUAUUAAGCAGUUCUAUGAAUGAAAGGUCUCUGAACUGAUACUAGAAGGAACAGGCAAGGGUGUGUUCUGUCCAAGCACUACUAAAGCAGUGCUGGCUGCUGAGGCUUGGGGGCAGGAAUGAGGAGGAGUAGGCUACAAAAAGUGGCAUGCUUUGUAUGCCCUGUCAGUGCCAGAUGGAUCUCAGCCAGCAGGGAAUUCCUCAUGAGUCUGCACACCUUGUCUAUGAGUCUUACAGCCUGCCAAAUAGCUCUGUCAUUCCGUCUUUGAACUGCAGUUCUGCAACUUUAAUUUCUUCCCCUUUUCAAGGGCAAGGAAGACUGGCAUCCUCUAGCUUUGUUUCCACUAAAAAAAAAUAGCACUGACAAUAAGAAGUACAGUAAAAGCCAAAUACCUUUUAUUUUGUGCUGGGAUUAUUCACGUAAAAUAAAUCAGUGAUGCAUAUUUCAGCAAUUUGCUCUUAUCUUUAGAAAUGAAAUUAUAUUCUAUUGUUACAUAAAAUAAUUACCUGUGCAGGGAGAUCAGCAUUGUUUGUUAGGGUACAUAAAUUAUUAGGGUGACCUCUUUUUGUUUCCAUUAUGCUUUCUACACUUACUUCUAAUUAUAUGAAACCACUUUUUAUGAACUUGAGAAUUUAUAGGAUCCAUUAAAGUCAUUUCAAAGAAAAAGUUCAAGAUUAAGUCACCAUACCUGCUGCUUGAUCCAUCGGGCUUCCUCAGUUUUUAAUUACUGUGCUGACAGUUUGGUUGUCCCAUUUUUUGAGGUGUUAGAACAGCCAGGAUUCAACUGAGUACAAAACAAUCACCAGCACUCUUCCUAUUCCCCUACCUUGUGUCUACUUGACAACUGCUGAUCUACCACCAUCAUUCUGGAUGAAAGAUAAUCAUUUUUAACCCAAGAAAAGCAUUAAGGUUUCUCAUUCCAGAAAAAUGAAUUUCAAGAACAUUACUAUCAUCUAAUGUGCCAGUCCUGCACAAGAAAUGCCAGCCACAGAAUUCUAAGAGGACUGAAAUUGGACUUGCUAUCAGAAGACUGAGAUUAUAUAAUUCAGUGAUCUUUAUCUUUUUAACAUUUUCCCAAAUCUGCACAUUAAAAAGAAAAAACAAUGACCAUUUACAGCAUUGAGUUCAGCUGAAUAAACUCAGUGUUUCUGCCAUCUGAAAAUACUGGCUCCCAACAUUUGGGGCAUUUAGUUUCUUGAUCUCAUUACCCUCUUCAAAAUAAUCUUUUAUUUAGAAGGUAUAGGUUUUUUGCACAUACAAAUGGAAACUAUUUUCCUGUUAAAAAUGGAAACAGAGUAAGAUUUCAGACCAGUUUGCAAUUUGAGAAAUAGAAGCUCCCUGCCAGAGCCACUGCUACUUCUGCUGUGCAUCUAGCAAUAUGAGGUGGUCUCUAACUUGUACUACUACAAAUCAUGUAGAAGGGAUACCAACCUCAGAGCUACAAUUAAUCCAGUCUUCUAAAAUUACAAAAAUGAUGCAGCUUGCCUGGCAUUAUAGAGCCUCACGGGUCUUCUGUUAUAACAUAGUACUGUGAGCAAAGGAUAUCAAGAUGAGAGGGGUGCUGGUAAAGGAAAGGUAUGAGUGUUAGAAACAAACCUGACCCACUUCAUGCACUGAAUGCGCAUCAGCCAUUCUGACGUCAAUGCAUAUUUUACUGUCCACCAGCAAGACAAGCCAGCACUACAGCCUAUUUCAAAAUAACAGUCUCUCCUACCUGAUCUGGUUUGAACACAGCAGCUUUACCAUCCGAAUGCUCAAGUUCUGCAGACGCAUUUGUAAAGCACAUAGCCACUCCAGAGGGAGUGUAUAAACAGGAGCGGGAACGACUGUUUACAUGGGUUGAUAGUGAUAUGACAAGGGGGAAUG